GAUGAACGCUGGCGGCGUGCCUAAUACAUGCAAGUCGAGCGAAAAGACGAGGCGCUUGCGGCUCUCACGUUAGGGGAGGACGGGUGAGUAACACGUGGAAACCCUACCUGUCAGACUGGGAACACUUCGGGAAACCGGAGAUAAUACCGGAUAAUAUAUUGAACCACAGGGUUCGAUGGUGAAAGACGGUUGUGCGGGAACUUAUAGCUGCUUACCGGCCGCAUGAGCUAGUAGGGAAGGUAACGGCUUACCACGGCAACGAGGCGUAGCCGACCUGAGAGGGUGAUCGGCCACCCUGGAGCUGAGACACGGUCCAGACUCCUACGGGAGGCAGCAGUAGGGAAUCUUCCGCAAUGGGCGAAAGCCUGACGGAGCAACGCCGCGUGAGUGAUGAAGGUCUUCGGAUCGUAAAACCCUGUUAUUAGUGAAGAACAAAUGUGUAAGUAACUAUGCACGUCUUGACGGUACCUAAUCAGAAAGCCACGGCUAACUACGUG
rnacentral:rRNA from 1 species